rnacentral:piRNA from 1 species
UACAGAGUGAGUUCCAAGGACAGUCAGGGC